ensembl:misc_RNA 7SK 7SK RNA
CAAAUGCGUGACCUGGCUGUGAUAUCUGUGCCCAUUGAUCACCAGGUUUAUUUGGCUAACUAGCCAAAUGUCCCUUUCUUCCUUCACUGCUCGAUGUGUCCCCUUCCCAAAGCUAUGUGCUUGGUGGAAGAUAACAACCAUCUGUGAUAGAGGAGUACAAUUUUUUGGUGAAGGGUAUAUGAAUACCUGCACUCUCCUUCUAGGAUCUCCAAACAUGCGCUCGAGAUCCUUCCAUCUUUUGGAUAGUAGCCAUUAAACAGAUACCUUUAUCACUUAGAAGACCAAAUACAUCUCUUU